GCUUAUGGUCUUGUAAUUGGAAUGAGUAUAAAUUAAAUGCCUUUACAAGUAUCAAUUGGAGGGCAAGUCUGGUGCCAGCAGCCGCGGUAAUUCCAGCUCCAAUAGCGUAUAUUAAAGUUGUUGCAGUUAAAAAGCUCGUAGUUGAAUUUCGGGACAAGUUGCAGGAGCAGCCUCGCGGUUGCAUCUUGUACACUCAUCCCUACCUUCUGGCGAGCCACGGUGCUCUUUACUGAGUGCGGUGGGGAACCAGGACCUUUA
rnacentral:rRNA from 1 species